AUGGCCCACCCCUCUUAAACCUUUUCACCUCCUCUUUCUCUCUUCUCUUCUCACCUUUAAUUAAACAACUCUAUUUCCCCUUUCUUCGUUAUCCCCUCUUUCUCUCUCUUCCUCUUACCCUUCCCCUUUCUCUGUGCAAUUAAGCACCACGAAAGUCUGCUGCAACCAUAGGCGGAGUAGAAAAGCCCCACCAUUUCCAACCUAUAAUCGUCGCUCAUCAGAUCAGGAAUUCGGUUGCACUUCAAAAGGUCUCUUUCUCUAUCUUCUAGAACUCCGUCGUCGUCACCACCUUUUAGGAAUUCAGUCCUAUACGCGAUUUGAAUUCGUCGCCAACAAAUCGCGCUGGCCACCACAACGAUGCUCUAUUCGGUUGAUUUUUGUUUUCUACGAAACCCUGAUUUCAUAAUCUCUCCAUUUCAUCAGUUAUAAGUUAUAAGUGAUCCUAAUUUCUGCAAUUAAUUCAGAAUUUCAGAGACCUCCGGCGAGGCAGCGACUAGCGACGACAAAUGACCAGACGGCCGGCAGACCCCACCUUCGGUUGUGGAUUGUUCCUUCACUUUCCCAAAAUCUCCAAUCUAAUUUCAAAGUGAUUGACGCUACAAGUUAUUCUAUUAAUGUAUUAAUAGUAUAUGCUUGUAAAAUCUUUAAAUCAAUUAGUUAUUAAUUAUUUUAACAAGUUUCUGUACUUGUAAUGUUAAUGUAGUAAUCUAAUACUUGUAAAUUUCAAUAAUAAGUUUAUGUAAGUUUCUUUAAUGGAUUCCUUCUGUAAUUUAAAUUUUUUGCCAAUAGA